AGUGACUCUGACAUGAUCUGCAAGCCCAAAGAUAAUCCCCAAAUCACCUGCAAACAUGAGAUUCAGGACUAUAACCGCAUCCUCUGGUACAAACAGACAACGGAUCAUCAGAUGCAGUUCCUGGGGUUCAUCUCUAAGUGACCAAGUUCACCAGGUUCCUGAGCACAUCCUUAAAAAACCAGGGGAAGCUGCCACGAUAAAAUGCUCACACACUAGUCCAAGCUAUGAUCGGGUCCUCUGGUACAAGCAGUCGACCCAGCUUCAGUUCCUGGGACACAUGUACAAAAACAUGGAAAAUCCUGAAGCUGAGCUGAAAGGGAAGCUGGGUGGGAAUGCAGAAAAAGACCAAACCUGCACGUUAACACUUGAAGAUCUCGGUCCAAACAGCAGCGCAGUUUAUUUCUGCGCCGCUCGCUACCACAGUGCUGCAAAAACACCGCUCCACGGGGAGGAUCUUCUUUGAAGCAAAACCGUAUUUAACCUUGCAGAUAUUCUGCAGAACUCCGUUAG